rnacentral:misc_RNA from 1 species
GAUAAAUUGGGAUUUUUGUGCGUUCAUCGAAAUUUUUAAUUUUACAUAAUCGAAGAGUUCUUGUUAAGGAUGAAGAAAAUUAGCAACGUGAGGAGAAAAUAGGCAUGUUAUGUUUAUUCGCUUUUCCGAUUAUUACUUUUUCCAGUGUUGAGAAGUCAAGCAUUUGUGUGAUGUUUAAUUUUUGAAAGAAGCUAAGUUUAACUUUGUAACCACAACGUAUUACCGGCGUCCCGAUCGCGAUUAAUGUAUCAUCGCAUAUCAACGGUGCUCCUUGAUCUUUACUGCACAACACCCCUUUCUAUACUUUUUUCUUUUUAACACCACUAACACAUAACAUGUUCGUCAUUUCAAAAGUGGAAUUUAACAACUUUUUAUAAAGUCUCUGGAAACAUUUGCUGUAUGAGAAAAAUUGAACAUUCAUUUUGCCAAUAAUUGAGGAGGAUUUCGUUUCUGCUGAAAUACUUAGGUUGUACCUCCUUGCUCCCCAGCCGUAGGUGGUACAGGAUUUAUUCCCGCCCUCUGCAAAAUGUUCGUUCUCAUAAAGUGCGUUGUACAGCACAUCGUACUUGAUCUGUGAUUUCGGAAAGUGCACGACAUUUAAAAACUUGCUUUCCUCGAAUGGCCAUUGCAGGUCGAUGUAGUCCCGGUUUUAUUCCAUGUUUUCAUUUCAGGAGAAUAACGGCAUAUUGAAUCACGAUAAAAUUGAGAAACCACUCUGGAGUCACUCAUCUUUGCCACUGCUAAGUCUGAUGUUCCUGCCACGACCAUGUAUAACUGCGGUGCGCAAAUAGGAACCUCUUUACUUUUUCUUCGAAUAUGUAUGAAGCAACUAAAGCUCGAUAUAAGCGUUCUCAACGUAAUAAGAGUCGCCAUGCACAAGUGCUCUUUUUUACUUAUCCUUUGAACGCUAGCAACGUAUAUCGCUGUAAAAUUGGUUUUCUCCAAUUGGGCUGCCACGAUGCGCUUCUUGCGAAAUAAAGAAGAUUUUUCGUGUGAACUCACCAUUGCUAGGACGAAACUGGUCUCUACGCUUUUCUCCUGCUUCUCCUAAACGAUUGAAAAAUAAAAAAGUAUACAACCACGAUGGGUCGAAAACUGCCUUGAUUCUAUAUGAGGUAAUGAGAUGAGUAAGGAGUGGCAAGAAGAUCGACAGGAUCAGCCCUCACCGUCCCGAACUCAAAGCCUUCUCAUUCUACUACUCGUUGUAUGUCAAAAUUUAUUAUCAGUCCAGUUUCGUCCUAUGUCGGAAGCGGAAGAAAUGCGUCAAGACCGUAAUACUUUGAAUGGUACGUUUAAAUUGGAAAAAAAUACAAUUUAUUCCGCGUUGGAUCGCAGAAAGCGUUUUGCGGUUCCUAGGAGUUUACCGACAAACAGUGAAGCGAGAUUUGUGGCCAGCGUUCAAAGGAUAAGUGACAACGAGCAUUUGCGGCUCGAAGGAAAAUCCCAUGUUUCAUCCGGAGUUGUACAAAGUUAUAGCGGGAUCGAUCGACUUGGAAAACUUGCGUUUCAUUAAUACCAGGUUCAUAUAUAAACUUUACCGUGAUCCUCGGUGCUUCGUUUUUAAAGAAUAUAACACCUGGACAAACAACCUAGGCUACAUCGAGUUACGAUCGCCUUUUCACAACAGCUUCUUUUUGGGAUUCGUGUCUUAUUCAAUAUCGGAACCCAAAUAUAUUCAUCACCUUUACAAAUAUUUCGGCAAUCAGGACUACGAUGAAGGCGGUAGUUCUUUCUGCGCCACUUACGGAUGGGGAGACAAGACGUCUAAAGCAAACGGUACGACAGAGGAUACCCACUCCAAGACUUUGCAGAAGGCACGUAUUCAGUUCCUCAAAUCAAGUGAUUGCUUAAGCAAAUUCUGGCGUUCUGAGGAAUUAAGUGAUCAUUUCUCCUUCGAAUUUCAAGAUAUAAUUUGCGCUGUUUGCACUGCGGAGGAUUUCCAAUGGAAGGAUAGAGGAAUACCGUUAAUCUGUGGUGGAAAAUUACUCGGCAUCGGUACGGUUGCAACUAACAAUGCUAAUUUGAUUUUUUUCCAAAAAUUACAGAUCUACCAAAUCCUCGCUUUCACCUCAAUAGAAACAGGGGAUUCAAAUGCAAGUGAAAGUUAUAAUAAAUCGUGUCUUAUCUGUCAUAGUAUAAUAAUCUUCAUCUUUAUCAAGCCCUAUAUAAUAAUUAAAUUUUUUUUUUUCAAUUAA